UACGUAGGCAGCGAGCGUUGUUCGGAAUUACUGGGCGUAAAGAGUGUGUAGGCGGUGCUCUAAGUUCGGUGUGAAAUCUCCUGGCUCAACUGGGAGGGUGCGCCGGAAACUGGAGUGCUUGAGCGUGGGAGAGGAAAGCGGAAUUCCAGGUGUAGCGGUGAAAUGCGUAGAUAUCUGGAGGAACACCGGUGGCGAAGGCGGCAUCCUGGACCAACACUGACGCUGAGGAGCGAAAGCCAGGGGAGCAAACGGG
rnacentral:rRNA from 1 species